GAUGAACGCUGGCGGCGUGCCUAAUACAUGCAAGUCGAGCGAACAGACGAGGAGCUUGCUCCUCUGACGUUAGCGGCGGACGGGUGAGUAACACGUGGAUAACCUACCUAUAAGACUGGGAUAACUUCGGGAAACCGGAGCUAAUACCGGAUAAUAUAUUGAACCGCAUGGUUCAAUAGUGAAAGAUGGUUUUGCUGUAACUUAUAGAUGGAUCCGCGUCGCAUUAGCUGGUUGGUAAGGUAACGGCCUACCAAGGCGACGUAGCGUAGCCGACCUGAGAGGGUGAUCGCCCACACUGGAACGGGGACAGGGCCCAGACUCCUACGGGAGGCAGCAUUGGGGAAUCUUCCGCAAUGGGCGAAAGCCUGACGGAGCAACGCCGCGUGGGUGAUGAAGGUCUUCGGAUCGUAAAACUCUGUUAUUAGGGAAGAACAAAUGUGUAAGUAACUAUGCACGUCUUGACGGUACCUAAUCAGAAAGCCACGGCUAACUACGUG
rnacentral:rRNA from 1 species